rnacentral:rRNA from 1 species
GACGAACGCUGGCGGCGUGCCUAAUACAUGCAAGUAGAACGCACAGUUUAUACCUUAGCUUGCUACACCAUAGACUGUGAGUUGCGAACGGGUGAGUAACGCGUAGGUAACCUGCCUGGUAGCGGGGGAUAACUAUUGGAAACGAUAGCUAAUACCGCAUAAUAUUGAUUAUUGCAUGAUAAUUGAUUGAAAGAUGCUAUUGCAUCACUACCAGAUGGACUUGCGUUGUAUUAGCUAGUAGGUGAGGUAACGGCUCACCUAGGCGACGAUACAUAGCCGACCUGAGAGGGUGAUCGGCCACACUGGGACUGAGACACGGCCCAGACUCCUACGGGAGGCAGCAGUAGGGAAUCUUCGGCAAUGGACGAAAGUCUGACCGAGCAACGCCGCGUGAGUGAAGAAGGUUUUCGGAUCGUAAAGCUCUGUUGUAAGAGAAGAACGAGUGUGAGAGUGGAAAGUUCACACUGUGACGGUAUCUUACCAGAAAGGGACGGCUAACUACGUG